UACGUAGGGUGCGAGCGUUAAUCGGAAUUACUGGGCGUAAAGCGUGCGUAGGCGGCUUCGCAAGUCAGGCGUGAAAUCCCCGGGCUUAACCUGGGAAUGGCGUCUGAAACUACGGAGCUGGAGUGUGGCAGAGGGAGGUAGAAUUCCACGUGUAGCGGUGAAAUGCGUAGAUAUGUGGAGGAAUACCGAUGGCGAAGGCAGCCUCCUGGGCCAACACUGACGCUCAUGCACGAAAGCGUGGGGAGCAAACAGG
rnacentral:rRNA from 1 species